CAAAUCCAACUAAGGUGGAGAUUGUUAGGAUUUGGUUAGAUUUGUAGAUUAAUUUUAGUUGGAUUAGAAUUAAUAUUUAAAUCUAUUGGAGAUAAAUUAAGAUUUAAAUAUAAAUUAGAGUAUGAAUCUAAUUAUAUUAGAAUAAAUAUUUAAAUCUAUUAGGGAUAAACGAAAUAUAGAUUUAAAUAUUUAUUAGAGUUGAAAUCCUAAAUAUACUAGGAUUUCGGUACGUUUUAUUGUAAACAUUAUAUAAACACCAUGUGAGGUGCUUUUGGAGGAGUACGGCCAAAAAGUUAAAACUCUUUGGUGGGUUGUACCAGAGAGAGAGAGUUGGCCGGUUGCAUGCACCUAGUGCAUGGGUGCAUAUGAGAGUGAAAGAGAGUUGUUUUUUAGAUUUAUAAAAGACGAGAGAAUGAUAGAAGAGAUUCAGAAAGAUGGCUCGGGUUGUAACUACUUUAUGCAGAAGAGGAGUCAGGUGUAAUAUUCUCUUAUUUAAUGAAUCUUCUUUUACUCACAUAUUUUCUAUUUUGAUUUUUCUCUCUUUUGUGAUUGCAUCAGCUUUUGCUGAAAAGACGGGUUUAUGGUAAAAACCCGAUUCAACGCUUCCGUUACAGAAUCUCAACAAUCGGUACCGAAUUAAUCCAUAGCAGUUGGUAUCGGAGCGGGUUGCGAGUUCACAAAAUCCGGUACCGGGGUGAGUACCGGAUUCCCAACAAUAAUUAUUUUAUAAUUUUGUUUAGCUAAAUUAUAGAAAAACUUCCUGUCAAUACUCUAUUUUUUACUUUUCUCCUGUCAUUCAAAAACUUACACUUUACCUCACUUAAAAAGUAAAAAAUAUUCACAGAAUGUGCGUUGUGACAAAAUGACCAAAUUGUCCCUCAUCCUUUUCGUCUCGUCCCCGAUCCGAAGCCUCUCCUCCUCAGCCGCAGCCUCUCCUCCUCCGUUCUUUGCGUCUCCCUUGAACCCAGCUCCGACUCUGUUUCCUCCACCUACUUCCCCACUCCUCCAGCACCCUUGCCAUCCCUUCAUUUCGGCGACGAUAGGAAGAAAGAUUAGGAUGGGCAUGGACGGAGAGGUGGACGAGGGCAAGGGUGAGGCGGUGUAGGAGAGUAAUAAGGCCGUGUGUGUGGGUAUGGACAGCGGGGUAGACGAGGGCUAGGUGGCGGAGGGCGAGGCGGCACGGUCAAGGUCGGUGAGAAAGAAUGAGAGUUUCAAAAAUAUUUUGGGCAUAAAAAAUAUGAUAUAAACGGAACUUUAACAGAAUACUGACGGCAAGGGACAACAUGAAUAUUUUUUAUUUUUUAAAGAAGCAAAAUGUAGGUUUUUGAAUGACAGGGCAGAAACGGAAAAAAGCCGAGUAUUGGUACGAAAAUUUUAUGUAAUUUAGCAUUUUGUUUAAGUAGUUAAAAAUAAGUGGUUAUAUAGUAUAAAAUCUCAUAAUCUCAUAUAUAUAUAUAUAUAUAUAU
rnacentral:lncRNA from 1 species